rnacentral:misc_RNA from 1 species
UGGUCGCGUCACUUUGUUUAAAUCUAUCAAAUGGAACUAAAGUAAUUACCACUGCUUCGUAACCAGACGAGCUUGUUUAGGGGAUAGGGUAGUCUAAAGCAAAACAGGACCACGGCUGAUGGCGACAGGACUGCCCCACAGUCCUGCAUGUUGGGCAUGUAGUCAGUUGGGACCUCCUCUUCAACAUUAACAGCUGUUAUCCCCUUUGUGAAGUAGGGAGAUGAGAGUAUCUACCAGUUCUGAAAAGAUGGCAGAUGCUGAACAACCGUAACCAGCCGAGGCUUUUAUCUUUAAGGGGAAAAGAUUGGAUUGCAAAAAAAAGAUUUUCGGUGAAGGUUUUUUCUUGUUUGAAGGAUAUUGGAAGGAAAAUGAAAAUGCAGGUGCUGAAAAGGAACGCGUGAAAUCGAAGACUUCUAAUCUAAAAAAAGAAGCUGCGAUAAGAAGAAUUAAAAAUGAAGACUGCCUUGAUGGGUGGAAAAAUGUGGCCGAUUAGCUCGUCAAGGGCAACCUGAAUCACAAUAAUAUCCUACGAUUUUUCGGUUAUGAGGAGGACAUGGCCAAUGGAUGGAGGUAUUUUGCUCUGGAACCGUACAGUGCCACUUUAUACGAAUAUUGCAAUGGCGAGUACAAUGGACCGAUGCCAAACGAAUCGCAAGUUCUUUAUCAAAUUACCAACGGCGUCAGCUACCUGCAUCUUAACGCAAUUGUACAUGGCGAUUUAAAUCCAUUAAACGUCGUCAUUGUUGCCCAGUCGCGUCCUGUGCGCAUGAAAAUUUCAGAUUUUGGAUUGAGCAAAUUCAGUUAUAGCAAACAGCUG